AUUUGUGGUCUCCUCUCUUGGCUUUGGAGCCCCCCUCCCUCUGUCUCUGUACGGGGGUGCCUUCUUCUUUUCUUCUUCUCCCUUCUUUCUUGCCUAUUAAACUCUCCACUUCUUAAUACCACUACACGUGUAUCUGUGUCAUUUUAUCCAAUUUGCAUGAGACAAGAGCCCUGGUGCCCCUCCACUCAUCAGAGCCGUAUCAUUUUGGUGCAUGGGCCAGGAAAAUCCAAAGUACAGCCUUCGUUGGAGUGAUAGAGUCUCACCGUUGCCCAGGCUGGAGGGCAGUUGUGCCAUUUUGGUGCACUGCAGCCUCUGCCUCUGGAGUUCAACUGAUUCUCCUGCCUCAGCCUCCUGAGUAGCUGGGACUAGAGGCACACGCCACCAUGCCUGGCUAAUUUUUGUAUUUUUAGUAGAGAGUGGGUUACACCCUGUUGGCCAGGCUGCUCUUGAACUCCUGGCCUCAAGUGAUCUGCCCACCUUGGCCUCCCACAGUGCGAUUACAGGUGUGAGCCACCGUGCCUGCCCGGCCUUUUUAAGAGAUGUGGUCUUGCUGUGUUGCCUGGGCUGGUCUCAAAGUCCUGACCUCAAGUGAUCCACCCAUCUCAGCCUCCCACAGUGCUGGGAUUACAGGCAUGAGCCACUGCACCGGAAGUCUAGGUUUAAUUAUUCCCCAUUACUGAGACAAGAUCUUCCUGAGCACUCUACCCCAUGCCUAGCGAAUGAUCAGUUUUUCCAGCUGGCCAGUGGGAAGAGGUCCUGGCCCUACCUCGUGUGAAUCUUGGGCGUUGUUUCCUCGAAUCCUUUCAGCUGGUUCUUUCCCUGGCCUUGGAGAGUUUCUUCACACACAUGUGCUGAUUAGUUCUUUGCUGAAUCCUCUGAAGUCCUCUGGGGUACUCUCUCUGUGCACCUCUGUCUUGUAGGUGUUCCAUUAUCUAAGCUCUAGCUGCUGUGGUCUCCUCGGACUCAGCCACUCCAUUUCCUCAACUCUGCGAAUCCUCUGGGCUGCAACAACCCACAUCCCCCUUGCCCUGCCCCACACUUUGGAAACGCUCUCGAAGCAGUAAACUGCACAGUCCUAAAAGGACUGUUGAUGUCCUUUCUCUCUGGGAUUUCAUUGCUUUUGUUACUUUCUCUCAUUGCUUGAUGUUCAGCGUUUUGAACACUGUUGUUCCAUGUAUUGGGUCUGUUUUUGUCACUGUGGUGGUGGUGAUUGUUUCAGACAGGAGGGCGGACCCAGCCCACGUGACUCCAUCUUGGCUGGAAGCAGGAAUCUCGGGAUCAGUGGUUUCAAAGCUCCUCAGGUGAUUCCAGGGGACGCUGAGGUGAGGACCACUUGCAGAGACUCCUCUGCUUGAAAUAUCUCUCAAUCAAAUGGAAUCUUCUUUUGUUGUUCCCACCCCUUCAUUUUCUCUGUUCUCUCUUUCUGAGUUUUUUCUUUGUUUUUGUUUUUUGAGACAAGGUCAUGCUGUGUUGCCCAGGAUGGAGUGCAGUGGUGCCAUCACGGCUCACUGUAGCCUCAACCUCCCGGGCUCAAACAAUCCUCCUGCCCCAGCCUCACGAGCAGCUGGGACCACAGGCCCAUACCAUCACGUCCAGCUAUGUUCUCUCUUUCUGGAACUUCUGUUAAACAAAUAUGGAUUGAAUUGAUUCUCCAUCUCUUUUCUUUCAUAUUUUCCUUUCUUUUCUUUCUUUUUUGUUGGCAUUUUGCUCUACAUCCUGAGAGGUGUUUCAAAACUUUUCCACCCGUACCUUCCUUUGAUUAAUUUUUUAUUUAACUUAAUUAAUUAAUUAAUUUUUGAGACAUGGUCUCACUCUGUCACCCAGGCUGGAGUGCAGUGGUGCAAUCUCAGCUCACUGCAGACUCAACCUCCUGGGCUCAAGUGAUCCUCCUACCUCAGCCUCCUGAGUAGCUGGGAGUACAGAUGCACUCCACCAUGCCCGGCUAAUUAUUUUAUUUUUUGUAGAGAUGGGGUUUUGCCAUGUUUCCCAGGCUGUGAUGGAUUUUUAAAUUUGGUCCGUCGUAUUUGUGACUUCCAGAACUUUGUCUUGUUCUCCAAUUGCAGCAUCUUCCUGGAAGCCUCUUCUUGGUUCGUGGUGCAUUAUCUUAUUCAUUCCUUUCCUCCAGGGCUAGUGUUCUGCUAUUCUUCCUUUCUUUUUUUUUUUUGAGACAGAGUCUUGCUCUGUUGCCCAGGCUGGAGCACAGUGGCGUGAUCUCAGCUCACUGCAAGCUCCAGCUCCUGGGUUCACGCCAUUCUUCUGCCUCAGCCUCCCGAGUAGCUGGGACUACAGGUGCCUGCCACUACGCCCGGCUAAUUUUUUUGUAUUUUCAGUAGACAUGGAGUUUCACCAUGUUAGCCAGGAUGGUCUUGAUCUCCUGACCUCAUGAUCCACCCGCCUUAGCCUUCCAAAGUGCUGGGAUUACAGGCAUGAGCCAUUGCGCCCAGGCUUUUUUUUUUUUUUUUUUUUUUUUUUUGAGAUGGAGUUUUGCUCUUGUUGCCCAGGCUGGAGUGCCACCUGCAGCCCAGUGAUCUUGGCUCACUGCAACCUCUGCCUCCUAGGUUCACGCAAUUUUCGUGCCUCAGCCUCCCGAGUAGCUGGGAUUACAGUCAUGUGCCACCAUGCCCGGCUAAUUUUAUAUUUUUACUAGAGAUGGGGUUUCACCAUGUUGGCCAGGCUGGUCUCGAAUUCCAGACCUCAGGUGAUCCACCCUCCUCAGCCUCCCAGUAAGCCACUGCACCCAACCAUCUGCUAUUCAUCUUAAUCCUCUCUGGUGGCACCGAAAUGAAGAGGAGACCCAUGUGGAUCUCCCUGCAGCCGGGUGAGUCUGGUUCCACAGGAGGCCUUUUCCUGAACUGGCUGCAGGCUCCGCGGGCAGGUCUGUUAAUUGGUUAAAAUGCUUCAUUCAGUUAGGUGGGUUUUGUUCCCUUCUCCCCACCCAGAGGACAUUUGGGAAUGUCGGGAGAUAUUUUUGGUUAUGGCAGCUAGGGGGAUCCUUCUGACACCUAGUGGAUAGAGGCCAGAAAUGCCACUAAGUAUCCUAGGACAUGCAGGAGAGCCUCUCAACGAUUAAGAAUCAGCUGUCCCAACAUGUUAAUAGCACAUAGGUCGGAGAGACACCCUGAUUUAAGGCCAUCUGAGUACAGGCUCCCCAGCUCUCACCACCAAAGGCCAAGAUAAGGAGGGUCCCUCUACAGCCACUUCAGGGAACUUCCAAGGGAGCUUGUUCAAUUAUGUUUAUUUAUUUUAUUUAUUUAUUUUUUUUGAGACGGAGUCUUGCUCUGUUGCCCAGGCUGGAGUGCAACCUCCACCUCCCAGGUUCAAACGAUUCUCCUGCCUCAGCCUCCCAAGUAGCUGGGAUUACAGGCACCUGCCACCACACCCAGAUAAUUUUUGUAUUUUUUGUAGAGAAGGGGUUUCAUCACGUUGCCCAGGCUGGUCUUGAAUGCCAUGACCGCCCCCAGUUGUGCUUAGAAGAUACCGCCAACAGGCCGGGUGCGGUGGCUCAUGCCUUAAUCCCAGUACUUUGGGAGGCCGAGGCAGCUGGAUCACGAGGUCAGGAGUUCGAGCCUGGCCAAGAUGGUGAAACCCCGUCUCUACUAAAAAUACCAAAAUUGGCCAGGCAUGGUAGCUCACGCCUGUAAUCCCAGCACUUUGGGAGGCCAAGGUGGGUGGAUCAUGAGGUCAGGAGAUCAAGACCAUCCUAGCUAACACGGUGAAACCCCGUCUCAAAAAUACAAAAAGUUAGCCAAGCGUGGUGGCACACACCUGUGGUCCCAGCUACUCAGAAGGC
rnacentral:lncRNA from 1 species